UACGUAGGGGGCUAGCGUUGUCCGGAAUCAUUGGGCGUAAAGCGCGCGUAGGCGGCCAGAUAAGUCCGGUGUGAAAGCCACAGGCUCAACCUGUGAAUGCCGCUGGAAACUGUCUGGCUAGAGUCCGGGAGGGGCGAGUGGAAUUCCUGGUGUAGCGGUGAAUGCGCAGAUAUCAGGAGGAACACCAAUGGCGAAGGCGCUCGCUGGAACGG
rnacentral:rRNA from 1 species